rnacentral:rRNA from 1 species
UAGGGAAAUCUUUCCGCAAUGGGCGAAAGCCUGACGGAGCAACGCCGCGUGAGUGAUGAAGGUCUUCGGAUCGUAAAACUCUGUUAUUAGGGAAGAACAAAUGUGUAAGUAACUAUGCACGUCUUGACGGUACCUAAUCAGAAAGCCACGGCUAACUACGUGCCAGCAGCCGCGGUAAUACGUAGGUGGCAAGCGUUAUCCGGAAUUAUUGGGCGUAAAGCGCGCGUAGGCGGUUUUUUAAGUCUGAUGUGAAAGCCCACGGCUCAACCGUGGAGGGUCAUUGGAAACUGGAAAACUUGAGUGCAGAAGAGGAAAGUGGAAUUCCAUGUGUAGCGGUGAAAUGCGCAGAGAUAUGGAGGAACACCAGUGGCGAAGGCGACUUUCUGGUCUGUAACUGACGCUGAUGUGCGAAAGCGUGGGGAUCAAACAGGAUUAGAUACCCUGGUAGUCCACGCCGUAAACGAUGAGUGCUAAGUGUUAGGGGGUUUCCGCCCCUUAGUGCUGCAGCUAACGCAUUAAGCACUCCGCCUGGGGAGUACGACCGCAAGGUUG